rnacentral:tRNA from 1 species
AAUUUAUAAGCUUUAUAGCAUUUCACUUACACUGAAAAAAAUCUAUAAAAUUAAA